rnacentral:rRNA from 1 species
CAGCCGCGCGGUAAUACCGGCGGCCCGAGUGGCGGCCACUAUUAUUGGGCUUAAAGCGUCCGUAGCCGGGUUGGUUAGUCUCCCGGGAAAUCUGGCCGCUUAACGGUCAGAAUUCCGGGAGAUACUGCCAGCCUAGGGACCGGGAGAGGCCGAGGGUAUUCCCGGAGUAGGGGUGAAAUCCUAUAAUCCCGGGAGGACCACCGGUGGCGAAGGCGCUCGGCUGGAACGGGUCCGACGGUGAGGGACGAAGGCCAGGGGAGCAAACCGGAUUAGAUACCCGGGUAGUCCUGGCUGUAAACGAUGCGGACUUUGUGUCGGACAAGCUAUGAGCUUGUCCGGUGCCGGAGGGAAACCGUUAAGUCCGCCGCCUGGGGAGUACGGCCGCAAGGCUGAAACUUAAAGGAAUUGGCGGG